AGAGUUAAAUAGUACGUGAAAUUGCUAAAAGGGAAACGUUUGGAAUUAGUGUUGUUGCUGGCAAAUCAGUCAUUCGGAGCGAUUCGGAUGGUGCACUUUGUCAGUGGCAGGUCAACAUCAGUUUGCGCGCAACGUAAAAUAGCCGGGGAAGGUAGCUGCUUGCAGUGUUAUAGACCCGGUGAAUGCGUUGUGUCAGACUGAGGUCUGCAGCCAACUCCUUUCGAGGGGCUGGGGAACGCGUCGCUGGCGUUGGAUCCGUGUUAGACAGCUUGCUGACUGACUCGAGAUCCCAACACCAAUCGGCGUGCUUACCACACGUUUGGCUUAGGUCGCUGACUUAAUGGUCUUAAAUGACC
rnacentral:rRNA from 1 species